rnacentral:rRNA from 1 species
CCUACGGGCGGCAGCAGUAGGGAAUAUUGCUCAAUGGGGGAAACCCUGAAGCAGCAACGCCGCGUGGAGGAUGAAGGUUUUCGGAAUGUAAACCUCUUUUGUUAGAGAAGAUAAUGACGGUACCUAACGAAUAAGCACCGGCUAACUACGUGCCAGCAGCCGCGGUAAUACGGAGGGUGCAAGCGUUACCCGGAUUCACUGGGCGUAAAGCGCGCGUAGGCGGGAUAGCAAGUCAGAUGUGAAAUCCUAUGGCUUAACCAUAGAACUGCAUUUGAAACUGUUGGUCUAGAGUAUGGGAGAGGUAGGUGGAAUUCGUGGUGUAGCGGUGAAAUGCGUAGAGAUUAAGAGGAAUACUCAUUGCGAAGGCGACCUACUAGAGCAUAACUGACGCUGAGGCGCGAAAGCGUGGGGAGCAAACAGGAUUAGAUACCCCUGUAGUC